rnacentral:rRNA from 1 species
GAUGAACGCUAGCGGGAGGCUUAACACAUGCAAGUCGAGGGGUAUUGUAGCAAUACAUUAGACCGGCGAAAGGGUGAGUAACGCGUAUGCAACCUGCCGUUAACCGGGGGAUAGCCCGUCGAAAGGCGGAUUAAUACCGCAUAAGACCACGACACGGCAUCGUGACGGGGUCAAACAUUUAUGGGAGAAGGAUGGGCAUGCGUGCCAUUAGCUAGUAGGCGGGGUAACGGCCCACCAAGGCGAAGAUGGCCAGGGGAUCAGAGAGGAUGGCCCCCCACACGGGUACUGAGACACGGACCAGACUCCUACGGGAAGCAGCAGUAAGGAAUAUUGGUCAAUGGAGGCAACUCUGAACCAGCCAUGCCGCGUGCAGGAAGACGGCCCUCUGGGUUGUAAACUGCUUUUAUCUGGGAAUAAACCUACUUACGUGUAAGUAGCUGAAUGUACCAGAAGAAUAAGGAUCGGCUAACUCAGUGCCAGCAGCCGCAGUAACAC